CUCGAGCGCGCUUGCCUGAAAAUGCAGAAUCAGACUCGAAAUUCUUCAUGCUUGUUUGCGCCUCCAUGUAUGGAUUUCUAGAGAGGCUGUAUGGCUUGCUGUUUCCCAAAAAAAAAAAAGGAAUAAACUUGAAAUACGUACAUAAUAUUCAAGUCAACUCGGAGGAAAAAAAAUUUAACAAAAAGAUCAAAACCUUAAGCUUGAAAAGCAAUUAGAAAUAAUAACUUAAUAUAAGGUGGUGUUAAAUAAUCAAAUUAUUCAGAAUGAAAGUUUUUUGUGGAAAGGAAAACAAUUGUAGGAAAGUAAUAUCACAUGAUCUAAAAAAAUAUUUAAUGAGAGCACCUUUUAGUCCAUGCAAAUGAAUAACCCAAAAGUCAGCAAAGCCAUAUUCAAGUAUGAUAUAAGGCAGAAUGCAGGAAUUACACAUUUUCAUUGGUCUAAAACAACAAAGUAAUUAGCGUUUGAAGUACUCUG
rnacentral:lncRNA from 1 species